GACAGAGGUGCCGAGCGUUAGGCGGAAUCACUGGGCUUAAAGCGUGUGUAGGCGGACUUCUAAGUACCUUGUGAAAUCCCACAGCUCAACUGUGGAACUGCUCGGUAUACUGGUUGUCUUGAGCCACUUAGGGGCAGUCGGAACAGACGGUGGAGCGGUGAAAUGCGUAGAUAUCGAGAGGAACACCUGCGGCGAAGGCGGGUUGCUGGGCUGACACUGACGCUGAUGCGCGAAAGCCAGGGGAGCGAACGGG
rnacentral:rRNA from 1 species